UAGGGAAUUUUGCGCAAUGGACGAAAGUCUGACGCAGCAACGCCGCGUGAAGGAUGAAGGCCCUCGGGUUGUAAACUUCUGUUGGAUGGGAAAAAAAGCCGCAAGGUCUUGAUGGUACCAUUCGAGUAAGCACCGGCUAACUCCGUGCCAGCAGCCGCGGUAAUACGUAGGGUGCAAGCGUUGUUCGGAAUCACUGGGCGUAAAGAGAGCGUAGGCGGGAUUGUAAGUUAGGAGUUUAAUGCAUGGGCUUAACCCAUGAUCUGCUUUUAAUACUGCAGUUCUUGAGUAUGGGAGAGGGUGAUGGAAUUCCAGGUGUAGCGGUGGAAUGCGUAGACAUCUGGAAGAACACCAGUAGCGAAGGCGGUCGCCUGGCCCAAUACUGACGCUGAGGCUCGAAAGCUAGGGGAGCAAACAGG
rnacentral:rRNA from 2 species